UACGGGGGGAGCAAGCGUUGUUCGGAUUUACUGGGCGUAAAGGGCGCGUAGGCGGCCAGUGCAAGUCAGUUGUGAAAUCUCCGAGCUUAACUCGGAAAGGUCAACUGAUACUGUGCGGCUAGAGUGCAGAAGGGGCAACUGGAAUUCUCGGUGUAGCGGUGAAAUGCGUAGAUAUCGAGAGGAACACCUGCGGCGAAGGCGGGUUGCUGGGCUGACACUGACGCUGAUGCGCGAAAGCCAGGGGAGCGAACGGG
rnacentral:rRNA from 1 species